AGUAGGGCGGGACACGUGAAAUCCUGUCUGAAGAUGGGGGGACCAUCCUCCAAGGCUAAAUACUCGUGAUCGACCGAUAGUGAACCAGUACCGUGAGGGAAAGGCGAAAAGAACCCCGGGAGGGGAGUGAAAUAGAUCCUGAAACCGCAUGCAUACAAACAGUCGGAGCCUCUUUAUGGGGUGACGGCGUACCUUUUGUAUAAUGGGUCAGCGACUUACGUUCAGUAGCAAGCUUAACCGUAUAGGGCAGGCGUAGCGAAAGCGAGUCCGAAUAGGGCGUUCAGUUGCUGGGCGUAGACCCGAAACCAGGUGAUCUAUCCAUGGCCAGGAUGAAGGUGCGGUAACACGUACUGGAGGUCCGAACCCACUAACGUUGAAAAGUUAGGGGAUGAGCUGUGGAUAGGGGUGAAAGGCUAAACAAACCUGGAAAUAGCUGGUUCUCUCCGAAAACUAUUUAGGUAGUGCCUCGUGUCUCACCUUCGGGGGUAGAGCACUGUCAUGGUUGGGGGGUCUAUUGCAGAUUACCCCGCCAUAGCAAACUCCGAAUACCGAAGAGUGCAAUCACGGGAGACAGACAUCGGGUGCUAACGUCCGGUGUCAAGAGGGAAACAACCCAGACCGCCAGCUAAGGUCCCCAAAUAUGGCUAAGUGGGAAACGAAGUGGGAAGGCUAAAACAGUCAGGAGGUUGGCUUAGAAGCAGCCACCCUUUAAAGAAAGCGUAAUAGCUCACUGAUCGAGUCGUCCUGCGCGGAAGAUGUAACGGGGCUAAGCCAUAUACCGAAGCUGCGGAUGCGUGCUUGCACGCAUGGUAGGAGAGCGUUCCGUAAGCCUGCGAAGGUGCCUUGUAAAGGGUGCUGGAGGUAUCGGAAGUGCGAAUGCUGACAUGAGUAGCGAUAAAGGGGGUGAAAGGCCCCCUCGCCGUAAGCCCAAGGUUUCCUACGCAACGUUCAUCGGCGUAGGGUGAGUCGGCCCCUAAGGCGAGGCAGAAAUGCGUAGCUGAUGGGAAGCAGGUCAAUAUUCCUGCACCGUCGUUAGAUGCGAUGGGGGGACGGAUCGCGGAAGGUUGUCCGGGUGUUGGACGUCCCGGUCGCUGCAUUGGAGAAGGCGCUUAGGCAAAUCCGGGCGCAGGAUUCAAGGGUGUGGCGCGAGCGACUUCGGUCGCGAAGCAAUUGGAAGUGGUUCCAAGAAAAGCCUCUAAGCUUCAGUCUAACGAUGACCGUACCGCAAACCGACACAGGUGGGCGAGAUGAGUAUUCUAAGGCGCUUGAGAGAACUCGGGAGAAGGAACUCGGCAAAUUGGUACCGUAACUUCGGGAUAAGGUACGCCCUUGUAGCUUGACUGGCCUGCGCCAGGAGGGUGAAGGGGUUGCAAUAAACUGGUGGCUGCGACUGUUUAAUAAAAACACAGCACUCUGCAAACACGAAAGUGGACGUAUAGGGUGUGACGCCUGCCCGGUGCCGGAAGAUUAAAUGAUGGGGUGCAAGCUCUUGAUUGAAGUCCCGGUAAACGGCGGCCGUAACUAUAACGGUCCUAAGGUAGCGAAAUUCCUUGUCGGGUAAGUUCCGACCUGCACGAAUGGCGUAACGAUGGCCACACUGUCUCCUCCCGAGACUCAGCGAAGUUGAAGUGUUUGUGAUGAUGCAAUCUACCCGCGGCUAGACGGAAAGACCCCAUGAACCUUUACUGUAGCUUUGCAUUGGACUUUGAACCGAUCUGUGUAGGAUAGGUGGGAGGCUAUGAAACCGGAACGCUAGUUUCGGUGGAGCCGUCCUUGAAAUACCACCCUGGUUUGUUUGAGGUUCUAACCUUGGUCCGUGAUCCGGAUCGGGGACAGUGCAUGGUAGGCAGUUUGACUGGGGCGGUCUCCUCCCAAAGGGUAACGGAGGAGUACGAAGGUACGCUAGGUACGGUCGGAAAUCGUGCUGAUAGUGCAAUGGCAUAAGCGUGCUUAACUGCGAGACCGACAAGUCGAGCAGGUGCGAAAGCAGGUCAUAGUGAUCCGGUGGUUCUGUAUGGAAGGGCCAUCGCUCAACGGAUAAAAGGUACUCUGGGGAUAACAGGCUGAUACCGCCCAAGAGUUCAUAUCGACGGCGGUGUUUGGCACCUCGAUGUCGGCUCAUCUCAUCCUGGGGCUGUAGCCGGUCCCAAGGGUAUGGCUGUUCGCCAUUUAAAGAGGUACGUGAGCUGGGUUUAAAACGUCGUGAGACAGUUUGGUCCCUAUCUGCCGUGGGCGUUGGAUAUUUGAAGGGGGCUGCUCCUAGUACGAGAGGACCGGAGUGGACGAACCUCUGGUGUACCGGUUGUGACGCCAGUCGCAUCGCCGGGUAGCUAUGUUCGGAAGAGAUAACCGCUGAAAGCAUCUAAGCGGGAAACUCGCCUUAAGAUGAGAUAUCCCUGGAGGCUUGACCUCCUUGAAGGGUCGUUCGAGACCAGGACGUUGAUAGGUCGGGUGUGUAAGCGCAGUAAUGCGUUCAGCUAACCGAUACUAAUUGCCCGUAAGGCUUGAUCCUAUAAC
rnacentral:rRNA from 1 species